CCAAUGUGAAUAGAUCAAUAGGUACCGCUCCUGCGGGAAGGUAAUGGCACUCCAUGCAGUCAUGCCGGCCACAUGACCUUGGAGGUGUCUACGGACAACGCCGACUCUUCGGCUUAGAAAUGGAGAUGAGCACCAACCCCCAGAGUCAGACAUGACUGGACUUAACGUCAGAGGAAAAUCUUUAUCUUUACCUACAUUUUAGGAUCAAACACAUUCUAUAAAAUGAAUGUUGACAUAAGUUAGAUAGAUGUAUAAAAUGUGUAUUUUGUGAUACAAAAUAUUUUCAAUAUAUAUAAAAAUAUGAAAAUAAUUAUUUUUAUAGAAAUGCUUUACAGUUGCACACUAAGGGAGAAAUAAAAUGAAACUGACUUAUUGAUUCUAUGGUUUAAACCUUUGUUGUUUUAUAACCAUAAAGCUAUCUCAUGUCAGACCAUGCUUAGCAAAGCUAAUAUUGAUACUUUAGCAGAUAUAUCUCAUUAUCAGGUGCUAUGUGACAUGAUUUCACUAUUUGUUCUUGUUUAUAGAAUAGUUUUUGUGCAUGUGUAUUGAUGGGGAACAUUGAAUGUCUGGAAUCAGGAAAGGUUUCUGAUUAUGUUGUUGAUCCUGCACUGCCUUAUGUAGAAUCCAAGAUAUUCUAUGUACCAUAUUUCCAAGCUCUUUAUAUAUGGAAGAUACCAGGCUUGUGCAAUAUGGGUAAACCAUGAGCCAUUUCGUAUCCCAGCUUUAGGCAGGGGUUCCAAUCAGUUUUUGGAAGCCUCCCGAAUACAGAAGGGCAGAUAUCUGUUUUUGCACUGGGGAUGCUGAAAGAUCCAUUUUGGAAUGGUCUAUUAUAGAAGGAGGCUUUCCAGGCUCCCCUUCCCAUCAUUUUAGGCACUUAAGCUGUUUGUUUCUAUUCUAGAGGAGAGGUGUUUGGCUGCUGACAGGCACACGUCCUAUAAGGAGGCCUCUUACCUGUUUCUUCUCUAGAGGAGAGGCACUUAGCAGCAUGUGGGUGUGGGCUUUAAGGGGGCUUCUUGUUUUCUACUCUAGAGGAGAGGCACUCAGCUGCAGACAGGUGCACACACUUUAAGGAGGCUGCACCUGAUAAUGGGAUACAUCUGCUCAAGUAUCAAUAUUAGCUUUACUAAGCAUAGUUUGACAUAAGAUAGCUUUAUGGUUAUAAAAUAACAAUGGUUUAAACCAUAGAAUAUUCUAAAGGAGAGACAUUUGGCUGCAGGCAGACACGUGCUUUAAGGAGGCUUCUAGUUUGGAGCUGUUUUUCUACUCUAGAGGAGAGGUGCUCAGCUGCAGACAGGCAUGUGUGCUUUAAGGAAGCUUCUUGUUCUUAAAGCUCUAGAGGAGAGGUGCAGCUGCAGAAGAGGCAGGUUCACAUUCUUUCUCUCAACAGCACCAGCACACCACACAGCUUUCCAAGAGGCAUUUAAGGAGGUCCAGGAAAGGAAGAGUUAUGUUGGUGAAGCCAUUGCUAAAUAAAUGGCCCUAAGGAUUAACAGACAGCAUGGAAAAUAUGACAUCAUGAUUGACAAACCUUCAAGGAUACUUUUGUGGAAGAUAUGGUCCCUCAGGAUGCUUCCCAUACAGUUCAAGGAGGAAGCCUCACUGGAAGUGGCUGUGUGUCAUUUGAUGGGAUCCAGCAGGUUAUUUUGCAUCCUAUGAUAGAUUGUGGAAGAAACCAUGUACUUGUCCUGGAUUUUCAAAAUUCUUCUUCAAGGUUUGAUGUGCUUAUUUUUUGAGCUUUGCUUGUAGUGUGUCCUCUAAACUUCUUUGAUAUUUGGGGCGCUUUUCGUUGGUUAUCCUUUAUAAAGUUAGUGAAGUACAACAGGACCAAAGAAUAAAGAAACCAGACACAGAAGAUGGGAUAUAAUGAGGACAACUUUAUUGACGAUUACCUAUUUAAUUGUUUUUAGUGAUAAGCAAAUCUAAAUGGGGAAAUCAAUUUGAGGUAAAAGCAGCAGGAGCAGUCAAUCUUCCCAGAUCAGAGCUCCCAGCCUUCCCUGGGCAAAAACACCAUAGUUCCUGAGAGGAAUCUCUUAAAGUUAACAUUGUUCCUCGGUCUAGCUAAUAAACCAGAAGACUACCCCAAACCACUUUGUCCCCUGCUGAGGACAAAAGACCCAGAGACCAGCCCUAAGGGCAGGAAGUUUUUUUUUCCACUCCCAAAAGCACAUGAUACACAGGAGGAGUUCCAAAUUCCCAUCCUACACAAAUUUAUGUAUUUAUUUAUUUACAGUAUUUAUAUUCCGGCCUUCUCACCCCGAAGGGGACUCAGGGCGGAUCACAAUGUACACAUACAUGGCAAACAUUCAAUGCCAUAUGAACAUAGAGACAGAGACACAGACACAAUUUAACCUUCUCCAGCUUCUAGCUUCCUGAGGAUAUGCUCGAUUCCGGCCACAGGGGGAGCAGCUGCUUCAUCAUCCACUGUGACACCUUGAUGGAUAUAUAUAUCCUCAUUCCAAACAUUGCUGGAUGAUUUUUAUGGUGUUGUAAGUUAGUUAAAUUAACCUCCCCACAUAAGUGGUCCCUAAAUUUCCUACUUGAUAUAUGCAACUAUCUUUCAGGUUGCUUAGGUCAACACUGAGCAGAGCUAAUUUUUUUAAUUUUAAUGAUUGGGUGCUCACUCUGACACAGGCUGGUCUCGAACUCAUGACCUCUUGGUCAUAGUGAUUUAUUGCAGCUGGCUAUUAACCAGCCUGAGCCACAGCCCGGCCAGAAGUUGUAUUACUAGUUCAUAUCUCCCUCCAAUACCUACCAUGGAGGCACCACUCUUAGUCAAGUGUCCAUGACAAUAUAAGAUUGGUAAAUAAAAAAAUUGAUAUAGGUAGGAGGGGAAAUUUUCACCCAUCCCCAUAGCAAUAAAAGCUACCAUAUUUGUAGAACCCUGCUCUAUGCCUGCGAAAUGUGGACUGUCUA